rnacentral:rRNA from 1 species
GAUGAACGCUGACAGAAUGCUUAACACAUGCAAGUCAACUGUGGCGGACGGGUGAGUAACGCGUAAAGAACUUGCCUCACAGCUAGGGACAACAUUGGGAAACGCAUGCUAAUACCUGAUACUGUGAGAGAGCUGUGCGUCCCAUUAGCUAGUUGGAGAGGUACCGGCUCACCAAGGCGAGGAUGGGUAGCCGGCCUGAGAGGGUGAUCGGCCACAAGGGGACUGGGACACGGCCCUUACUCCUACGGGAGGCAGCAGUGGGGAAGAUUGGAAAAUGGACCAAAGUCUGAUCCAGCAAUUCUGUGUGCACGAUGAAGUUUUCGGAAUGUAAAGUGCUUUCAGUUGGGAAGCGGUACCAACAGAAGAAGUGACGGCUAAAUACGUGCCAGCCGCCGCGGUAAUUC